CAUGUAGGUGGUUAUGUAAGUCGAGCGUGAAAUCCUUUGGCUCAACCAAAGAACUGCACUCGAAACUGCAUAACUUGAGUUCAGGAGAGGAAAGCGGAAUUCCCGGUGUAAGAGUGAAAUCUGUAGAGAUCGGGAGGAACACCAGUGGCGAAGGCGGCUUUCUGGACUGAUACUGACACUGAAAUGCGAAAGCUAGGGGAGCAAACAGGAUUAGAUACCCUGGUAGUCC
rnacentral:rRNA from 1 species